GUAUAGCUCAAGUGGUAGAGCACAUGCUUAGCUUACAUGAGGUUCUGGGUUCAAUCCCCAGUAC
rnacentral:tRNA from 1 species